UACAGAGGUCUCAAGCGUUGUUCGGAUUCAUUGGGCGUAAAGGGUGCGUAGGUGGCUAGGUAAGUCGGAUGUGAAAUCCCACGGCUCAACCGUGGAAGUGCAUUCGAAACUGCAGGGCUAGAGUCCUGGAGAGGAAGGUGGAAUGCUUGGUGUAGAGGUGAAAUUCGUAGAUAUCAAGCGGAACACCGGUGGCGAAGGCGGCCUUCUGGACAGUGACUGACGCUGAGACGCGAAAGCGUGGGGAGCAAACAGG
rnacentral:rRNA from 1 species